GGCUCCUCCGCGUUUCACACCGUUCGAGGCAACACGAGUACGGCGACGUAGCCCGACACUUCUGCUUCCAUCCUUAACCCCACAUCUUGAUCUUUUGGGGAGGAGGAGAACUUGCACGAGUGUGUGGGCGGCAGGAGUGAUGGUGAUGAGGGGGAAUGAGGCAUUGCGGGCGCACCUUGGGAUGGCGCUGGUGCAGGCGACCAACGGCGGCUUCCACGUGCUGACCAAGUCCGUGCUCAACGUCGGCAUGAACGAAGUGGCCUUCUGCGUCUACCGCGACUUCGUCGCCAUCUCCAUCCUCGCCCUCCUCCAACGAUGCAGGUUCCAAUGCUGAUCAAGUAUCCUUCCUGCUUGUCUUUGACAACAUACUUGUAUUUUUUUGGGGAUGGUAUUGACUGGAAUAUUUACCACUGGUUGUCAUACAGAGUGGAUGUUGACACCAUCAGAAAUAAUUGCUGUCUUAUAUGCAGAGGAUUUAUCUUCAUAACCAAUGAUCUGAAUCAAGAUUGCGAACCAUGGCGCCAAGGCUUAUCCAUUGAUGAUCUAUAACUUACUAUGAUCCAUGAGGACUAAGGAGUCGUAGAAGGCAACCUUGUGGAAGCAUCAGGUCUCUUCACAGGUGUUGCAUCUUCUUGAAGAAGAGGUGCAGAUUCAUGAUCUCCAUAACUGAUCCCUGUUGUCAU